rnacentral:misc_RNA from 1 species
AAGUCGUAACAAGGUUUCCGUAGGUGAACCUGCGGAAGGAUCAUUAACACGUUAUCCACGUUUAUCAACUGAAACGACGAACUAGCUCCCCGAGAUUGACAUUCUUAGCUGUUUGAUGAGAAUUAUAGUGGGUUAUAUUUCGGUAUAACAUAUUCUCUCAAACUAUCAGUCCUUUGAGAUUGUGGCGAAGUAAACCAAUAGCGGGCUUUCUUUUCAAUCCAUUGACCCCACUACUAUGGGGCGGAUGUGGUGCGAAACCCAUACCAAUUUCACCCUAUUUUACCUAUUUGACUAAUUAUUAUAUUUAUGGAGAGAAAUCUCUAUGAAUUCUAAGAUUUAUCUUAACUAAGCACAACUCUUAGCAAUGGAUAUCUUGGUUCUC